GACGGAGGAUGCAAGCGUUAUCCGGAAUUAUUGGGCGUAAAGAGCGUGUAGGCGGCCCGAUUAGUCCGCUGUGAAAGUCCAGGGCUCAACCCUGGAAUGCCGGUGGAUACUGCAGGGCUAGAGUCCGGAAGAGGCGAGUGGAAUUCCUGGUGUAGCGGUGAAAUGCGCAGAUAUCAGGAGGAACACCGAUGGCGAAGGCAGCUCGCUGGGACGGUACUGACGCUGAGGCGCGAAAGCCAGGGGAGCGAACGGG
rnacentral:rRNA from 1 species